GACGAACGCUGGCGGCGUGCUUAACACAUGCAAGUCGAACGGAAAGGCUCCAGCUUGCUGGAGUACUCGAGUGGCGAACGGGUGAGUAACACGUGGGUAAUCUGCCCUGCACUCUGGGAUAAGCCUGGGAAACUGGGUCUAAUACUGGAUAUGACCUUUCUCCUUAUGGGGUUUGGUGGAAAGUUUUUCGGUGUAGGAUGAGCCCGCGGCCUAUCAGCUUGUUGGUGGGGUGAUGGCCUACCAAGGCGACGACGGGUAGCCGGCCUGCGAGGGUGAUCGGCCACAUUGGGACUGAGAUACGGCCCAGACUCCUACGGGAGGCAGCAGUGGGGAAUAUUGCACAAUGGGCGGAAGCCUGAUGCAGCGACGCCGCGUGAGGGAUGACGGCCUUCGGGUUGUAAACCUCUUUCAGCAGGGACGAAGCGUAAGUGACGGUACCUGCAGAAGAAGCACCGGCUAACUAUGUG
rnacentral:rRNA from 1 species